CUCUCGCUGCUGAAGGCCUUGAUUGACAGGCUGCUUCAGGAUGGAAUGGAGGAGCUUCUUCAUGAGAUCAGCACCAUCAGACGAGUGAAAGGAGACAGACAGGAGCCGGACUCAAACGUCAUCACCGAAUACACCAGCUCAGUAAAGUACAGUCACCCACAAGAGUCAUUACCUGAUACACAUUUGACUGAGGAAGAGACUGAUUUUGAAGAGGGGCAGAUGCCUGAGCCCAGUCCUAAGCCUGUUGUACAAAAAGAAGUGGGUCCUAUCCUUUCGAACAUCUCUACUAUUCACAAAAAGGCUAACCAGAGUAAAACCAAAGACAAGCUGGUAGAUGUUGAAGAAAAGAAACUUGUGGAGACUAACUUCAGUGAUGUAACACCUUUGAAAUUUCUCCAAACCAACACUUCCUCUGAGAGGCUGGGCUCUGGGAAGGUAGAGGUAAGUAUGGAGACAGUUUUCCACAGCCAUGAGGACACGGGGAAGAAAACAUCUGGAGAGAAGAAGAAAGGCAGAGAUAGGGGAAAGGGCAAAGGAAAUAAAGGACGUCAAAAACGACAAAGGAAACGUUUGGAAGGUCAAGACAGCAUGGGAGAGGAGGUUGAGGAAGCAUCAUAUGACGAUGAGGAAUAUGAAUAUGAUGUAAGUCUGUCACAUGAUCCUACUGUGAAAUUUAAUGUAUGA
rnacentral:lncRNA from 1 species